AAAGCUGCAGGCGGUACUAUCUAUUUGACCAAUAAUAAUGUUUUAGACACCCAACAGUCGUUUUAAAAAUUUAAAAAAAAAACGAUUACAAAUGAUUGAGUAAUGGCGACGCAUCAGAUUUGUUUUUGUUUAUUUCCGAAUUACCUCAGUGCAACAAAGGAAAAACAUCGAAGUUAUCUAUCCUUAUAUAGGUUAAGCGAUCAAAAUUUUGUUUUCACAAUGAUUUCUUAUGGCUUUUGAUGCACAAACUAAAUUAUUACCCUGUAAUAUAUCCUUUAUCGUAUCACCCAUCAACAGUAGCAGCGCUUACCCAUGGCGGCGCCAAGUACAUUAAUAUGUACACUUUUUAAGAAUACUUUUUAAAAG